CCUACGGGAGGCAGCAGUAAGGAAUAUUGGUCAAUGGACGAAAGUCUGAACCAGCCAUGCCGCGUGAAGGAUUAAGGCCCUCUGGGUUGUAAACUUCUUUUAUCUGGGACGAAAAAAGGGUAUUCUUACUCACUUGACGGUACCAGAGGAAUAAGCACCGGCUAACUCCGUGCCAGCAGCCGCGGUAAUACGGAGGGUGCAAGCGUUAUCCGGAUUUACUGGGUUUAAAGGGUGCGUAGGUGGGCUUGUAAGUCAGUGGUGAAAUCUCCGGGCUUAACCCGGAAACUGCCAUUGAUACUAUAGGUCUUGAAUUAUCUGGAGGUAAGCGGAAUAUGUCAUGUAGCGGUGAAAUGCUUAGAUAUGACAUAGAACAUCAAUUGCGAAGGCAGCUUACUACGGAUACAUUGACACUGAGGCACGAAAGCGUGGGGAUCAAACAGGAUUAGAUACCCUGGUAGUCCACGCCCUAAACGAUGGAUACUCGACAUCAGCGAUACACUNUUGGUGUCUGNGNGAAGANAUAGUAUCCACCNGGAGAGANCGCAGAUAGAACGUACAANAGAGUAGAGGCGUGAGACGAGACGACGGACGACGACGAGGGAGGAGG
rnacentral:rRNA from 1 species